AUUGAACGCUGGCGGCAGGCCUAACACAUGCAAGUCGAACGAGCGGCGGACGGGUGAGUAAUGUCUGGGAAUCUGCCUGAUGGAGGGGGAUAACUACUGGAAACGGUAGCUAAUACCGCAUACCAUCGGAUGAGCCCAGAUGGGAUUAGCUAGUAGGUGGGGUAAAGGCUCACCUAGGCGACGAUCCCUAGCUGGUCUGAGAGGAUGACAGGCCAGACUGGAACUGAGACACGGCCCAGACUCCGACGGGAGGCAGCAGUGGGGAAUAUUGCACAAUGGGCGCAAGCCUGAUGCAGCCAUGCCGCGUGUAUGAAGAAGGCCUUAGGGUUGUAAAGUACUUUCAGCGGGGAGGCGUUACCCGCAGAAGAAGCACCGGCUAACUCCGUGCCAGCAGCCGCGGUAAUUC
rnacentral:rRNA from 1 species